GGACUACCCGGGUUUCUAAUCCUGUUUGCUCCCCACGCUUUCGCACCUCAGCGUCAGUAUCGGGCCAGUGAGCCGCCUUCGCCACUGGUGUUCUUGCGAAUAUCUACGAAUUUCACCUCUACACUCGCAGUUCCACUCACCUCUCCCGAACUCGAGCUUUCCAGUAUCGAAGGCAGUUCUGGAGUUGAGCUCCAGGAUUUCACCCCCGACUUAGAAAGCCGCCUACGUGCGCUUUACGCCCAGUAAUUCCGAGCAACGCUAGCCCCCUUCGUAUUACCGCGGCUGCUGGCAC
rnacentral:misc_RNA from 1 species